GGGCCCGUAGUUUAGCCAGGCAGAAUGGCGGGCUCCAGACCCGCUGGCCCGGGUUCAAAUCCCGGCGGGCCCACCA
rnacentral:tRNA from 1 species